ACGGGAGGCAGCAGUGAGGAAUAUUGGUCAAUGGAGGAAACUCUGAACCAGCCAAGUCGCGUGAGGGAAGAAUGCCCUACGGGUUGUAAACCUCUUUUGCCGGGGGAUAAACCUGACCACGUGUGGUCAGCUGAAGGUACCCGGUGAAUAAGCAUCGGCUAACUCCGUGCCAGCAGCCGCGGUAAUACGGAGGAUGCGAGCGUUAUCCGGAUUUAUUGGGUUUAAAGGGUGCGCAGGCGGCUUUUUAAGUCAGUGGUUAAAUCGUGACGCUCAACGUCAUCACGCCAUUGAUACUGGAGAGCUUGAUUGCGGUCGAGGUUUGCGGAAUUCGUCGUGUAGCGGUGAAAUGCAUAGAUAUGACGAAGAACACCGAUUGCGUAGGCAGCAGACCAGGCCGUAAAUGACGCUCAUGCACGAAAGUGCGGGGAUCGAACAGGAUUAGAUACCCUGGUA
rnacentral:rRNA from 1 species